AUCAAUUUUUUUUUUUAAUUGAAUUUUAACAAACUAAUAUAUUGUUUUAUUUUAAAAAAAAAUAAAAAUUCAAAUAAUUUCAAACAUUUAAAAAUGUAUUAACAUGCUGCGCAGUGUUGAACGAUAAAAUGCUCAUACAUAAAAAUAAGGAAAUAUAUGAAUAAUAUACCCAUGUACAGAUAUUUAGGUACUAAGUACAUGAAAAAAAUUAAUAAUCACAUUUACAUAACGUCUGUUGAUUUAUUUUUUUUUUUUGCUAAAUGAUAAAAUUUCUUGACCGUUUAAUUUAUCUAUCAAUCUUUCAAUUGUAUAAGAAAUAUAGAUCAUGAAUAAUCGAAUAAAUAGCUAUUAAUUAUCUAAAAUUAUUCAGUCUAAUCUACAGCUCAAAGCAGUAACUUCAGUUUUACGUCAAAGUAAAAAAAAAAAUCCAAGAUGCGCUUUAACUUAUUUGUUUUGGCUGUAAUUGCCAUGAUUGUAUUAAUGUUUGCUGGAACCCAAGUAUCAGCAGAUUGUUUACCACAAUGGUCCAAUAACUGUGCAGAUGAUAAACAAUGUUCUAGUAUACUCAAUACUCAAUGGCCUAAAGCUCAAAAUUGAAAAAUUUUUUAAAUUAUUUAAAUGAAAAUAAUUGGCCAGUUUAAUACCGACAAGGCGACAACAAGAUUAUUAAAAUCAUAAAAAAAAAACCAUUGUCUUCUUUUUAUUGAUA